AACCGCCCAGUGCGGAGUCACAUGCAGGGUGGUGUGGGGGCUGGAGGCUAGAUACCUCUGGCUACCCGAU
rnacentral:misc_RNA from 1 species